rnacentral:rRNA from 1 species
GAUGAACGCUGGCGGCGUGCCUAAUACAUGCAAGUCGAGCGAACGGACGAGAAGCUUGCUUCUCUGAUGUUAGCGGCGGACGGGUGAGUAACACGUGGAUAACCUACCUAUAAGACUGGGAUAACUUCGGGAAACCGGAGCUAAUACCGGAUAAUAUUUUGAACCGCAUGGUUCAAAAGUAAAAGACGGUCUUUCUUUCUCUUAUAGAUUGAUCCGCGCUGCAUUAGCUAGUUGGUAAGGUAACGGCUUACCAAGGCAACGAUGCAUAGCCGACCUGAGAGGGGGAUCGGCCACACGGGAACUGAGACACGGUCCAGAGGACUACGGGAGGAAGCAGUAGGGAAUCUUCCGCAAUGGGCGAAAGCAUGACGGAGCAACGCCGCGUGAGUGAUGAAGGUCUUCGGAUCGUAAAACUCUGUUAUUAGGGAAGAACAUAUGUGUAAGUAACUGUGCACAUCGUGACGGUACCUAAUCAGAAAGCCACGGCUAACUACGUG